rnacentral:misc_RNA from 1 species
AAGUCGUAACAAGGUUUCCGUAGGUGAACCUGCGGAAGGAUCAUUACUGGGUAAAGGCUACUCGCCUCCAACCCCACCCUCUGUAACCGCGGCCCGGAUUCGGCGUCUGGCGGGGGACUUCUCUGUUCGCGGAGGCCCCCUCGCCUGCCGGAAUCAGCCAACACUGCCUCGAAAAUUGAAGUCUGAGAACAAGUUUAACUAAACAAAACUUUCAACAACGGAUCUCUUGGUUCUG